rnacentral:rRNA from 1 species
GUCGAACGGUAGAGUAGCAAUACUCGAGAGUGGCGAACGGGUGAGUAAUAUAUCGGAACGUGCCCAGUCGUGGGGGAUAACGUAGAGAAAUUUACGCUAAUACCGCAUACGAUCUACGGAUGAAAGCGGGGGAUUCGCAAGAACCUCGCGCGAUUGGAGCGGCUGAUAUCAGAUUAGGUUGUUGGUGAGGUAAAAGCUCACCAAGCCGACGAUCUGUAGCUGGUUUGAGAGAACGACCAGCCACACUGGGACUGAGACACGGCCCAGACUCCUACGGGAGGCAGCAGUGGGGAAUUUUGGACAAUGGGCGAAAGCCUGAUCCAGCAAUGCCGCGUGUGGGAAGAAGGCCUUCGGGUUGUAAACCACUUUUGUACGGAACGAAACGGUUCGCUUUAAUACAGUGGGCUAAUGACGGUACCGUAAGAAUAAGCACCGACUAACUACGUGCCAGCAGCCGCGGUAAUACGUAGGGUGCGAGCGUUAAUCGGAAUUACUGGGCGUAAAGCGUGCGCAGGCGGUUAUAUAAGACAGUUGUGAAAUCCCCGGGCUCAACCUGGGAAUUGCAUCUGUGACUGUAUAGCUAGAGUACGGUAGAGGGGGAUGGAAUUCCGCGUGUAGCAGUGAAAUGCGUAGAUAUGCGGAGGAACACCGAUGGCGAA